AUCAAACUCCUGGCAGUGAGCAGAGUCAGCCUGCAAUACUGUAUUCUAACCACUGCGCCAUCACAGUUCCUAAGCUUAGCUUCUUGGCCUUUAGACAGAGUGGCCCCUGGGCAAGGUUAUGAUGGCAGAUCAUGCUUCUUCCUCUUUUGCCAUUAUGUUCUUCUGCUGCUGAAGCCAACAUAUAAUAUUUGAGUAAGUUGGACAAGGGUCUCAAAACUGAUGUCAAUGCUCUUAGAGAUCUGGGACAUCAAUUGUGAUGUUUAGCUUACAUACACUGGCCACAUUUGCAUAACCCAGCCAACCCUAUGUCUCCCAGUCACCUAGUUCAUCUUCAUCCACUGGCAUAAAAGAACAUGGGAUGGCUGGGACUUUGAUGUUCCAGCCAUUUGUUACACCUUCCCAGCCAGUGCAAACGGGACCAGGAUGCUAUUGCUUAUUUUCCAAUAUCCCAUUUCUUCUCUUUCUGCUCUUCAUCUUUCUUCUCUUCCUCCUUGUUCUUUUGGUUGAAGGAACCUUCUAUGCCUUCAUCUUGGCCACCUAGAUCAGAAGGCAACAUGUGAAGCAGGAUGGAACAAAGGUGUAAGCAGGAUCUGACUCCACUGUUCAUCCAGCCCAUCUUUCAUGUCUAUUAAAGCUGCAAGUACCCAGAG